GGAAAGAGCAAGUGGAGAUACAGGGAGGCUUCAAAAGGGGAAAGCAGCUCUGAAACAUCCAAUAAAGAUUCAGGAUGUUUUGAUAUGUUCGAAUUCUUACAGCCACUGAAAGUUUCUCACAGAAGUUCUAGGAUUCACUCAGCACAUUGAUGUGUCCAGCACAGAACUGUGAAUAUCUGAAAUCUGGAGAUGCUGAUGCUCUGUGUGUGCAGGAGCUCGCUCGCUGCUCUGCACACACUGCACUGCAGAUCACAAAUGGCACUGGGGAGGGUUACUCGGGACCUGACAUUCAGAAAUUACUGCUAUUUUUUAAUAAUUGCAUUGAACUAUCAGAAAUCAGGCCCUGAAUUGGAUGGAUCAGGCUGAGGUUCAGCUGUAUCUUAGAAAAAAUUUCACCACUGAAAGUGUGGUGAAGCACUGGAGCAGCUGCCCGGGGAAGUGGUGGCAUCACCAUCCUGGAAGUGUUCCAAAAAUCGGUAGAUGUGGCACUUUGUGAUAUGGUUUGGUGGGCAUGGUAGGACUCAGGCACAGGCUGGACUUCAUGAUCUUGGAGGUCUUUUCCAACCUUAAUAAUUCCAUGAUCAGGGGCCUGGUUUCAGAGUUUCCAGAACCAGAUCGUUGAUUUGUUGAAAUGUUGAGGAUUUGGAGGCCCAUCCCUAUUUUUAUUUGCUGUUUUUCCCUGUAAAGUCUUGGCUUUAGAGCUCUGGGAAGAAAGGCACCUGGAAAAUGGCUGCUGGUCACUGCUGGCUGUACCAAGUCCCUGCUCCCUUUAUUUUACCAGAGGCACAUCAGACCCCCCAACACACACAGUGAGGCACCUGGAGGAGCAGCAGCUCCUGCCCCUGGCAGUGCAACCCCUGCAGCCCCUCCUCACACAGCCCCACCCGCCUCGUGCUGCCUCUGCCCCGGAGGUCCCACGCCCCUCUCCCCUGCCCACAUUCUGCUCCAUCCCCAGGGGUCCCACACCCCGCUCCACCCCUGCCCGUGCCUCUCUCUAUCCCUGCCCGUGCCUCUCUCCAUCUCUCCAUCCCUGCCCGUCCCUCUCUCCAUCCCUGCCCGUCCCUCUCUCCAUCCCUGCCCGUCCCUCUCUCCAUCCCUGCCCGUGCCUCUCUCCAUCCCUGCCCGUCCCCCCCCCCCCCCCCCCCCCCCCCCCCCCCCCCCCCCCCCCCCCCCCCCCCCCCCCCC
rnacentral:lncRNA from 12 species